GACGAAGGAUGCAAGCGUUAUCCGGAUUCAUUGGGUUUAAAGGGAGCGUAGGUGGUCUUAUAAGUCAGUGGUGAAAUCUCGCAGCUUAACUGCGAAACUGCCAUUGAUACUGUAGGACUUGAGUAUAGUUGCUGUGGGCGGAAUAUGACAUGUAGUGGUGAAAUACUUAGAGAUGUCAUAGAACACCGAUUGCGAAGGCAGCUCACAAAACUAUAACUGACACUGGGGCUCGAAAGCGUGGGGAGCAAACAGG
rnacentral:rRNA from 1 species